rnacentral:misc_RNA from 1 species
AGGGAACAAGACAAAUUAUUCAGAGACAAAGAAAGAACUUGUGACAACGAGGAAAGUCCAAUAACUUGUGGGGGUAUGGGACCACUAAGAUUGUUUGUAGAUAAAUCUAGUCCGAGCAAUUUUUGGCAACUGCCUAGACUUGAAGGGAUGGUACCUUGAAUAUUAUUGUUAUAUAAAAGAAGUUCAAGUAAAUUUGUCAGGUUUCCCAGAGAUGAUGGAAUAUAUCCCGAUAAAUUAUUUAUUGCAAGGUAAAGUAAUUUUACAUUUUGAAGCUGUCCGAUGCCCGAUGGAAUGGUACCUGAAAGUUUGUUCCUGUCUGCAGCGAAAACUUCCAAGUUAACAAGGAACUUUAUUCCAAUUGGGAUGUUUCCAGAUAUCUGAUUGUUCUGUAUGACAAAGAACCGGAGCACCUUUGAGAAGUUGGCGAUGUGUUCAGGAAGUUCGCCUCCAAAGUUGUUGUAGCCUAUGCCGAUGUUUCGUAAAGCUGUGGCGUUAGUUAAGGUGGAAAGAAAUCUCAAGUCAUCAGCUUUCCCACUUCCUAAAUUGUUGACGCCAAUCUGUAAUGCUAAAAGCCUAUGCAACUUGCCAAGAGAAGGCACACUUC